CGACCGGCGCACGGGUGAGUAACGCGUAUCCAACCUGCCCUUUACUAUGGGACAGCCCGUCGAAAGGCGGAUUAAUACCGUAUGUUGUCAUGUUGAUGCAUAUUUUCAUGACCAAAGGCUUCGGCCGGUAAAGGAUGGGGAUGCGUCUGAUUAGCUUGCCGGCGGGGUAACGGCCCACCGGGGCGACGAUCAGUAGGGGCUCUGAGAGGAAGGUCCCCCACAUUGGAACUGAGACACGGUCCAAACUCCUACGGGAGGCAGCAG
rnacentral:rRNA from 1 species